rnacentral:rRNA from 1 species
AUUGAACGCUGGCGGCAUGCCUUACACAUGCAAGUCGAACGGUAACAGGUCUUCGGAUGCUGACGAGUGGCGAACGGGUGAGUAAUACAUCGGAACGUGCCCGAUCGUGGGGGAUAACGGAGCGAAAGCUUUGCUAAUACCGCAUACGAUCUACGGAUGAAAGCAGGGGACCGCAAGGCCUUGCGCGGACGGAGCGGCCGAUAUCAGAUUAGCUAGUUGGUGGGGUAAAGGCUCACCAAGGCGACGAUCUGUAGCUGGUCUGAGAGGACGACCAGCCACACUGGAACUGAGACACGGUCCAGACUCCUACGGGAGGCAGCAGUGGGGAAUUUUGGACAAUGGGCGAAAGCCUGAUCCAGCAAUGCCGCGUGCAGGACGAAGGCCUUCGGGUUGUAAACUGCUUUGUACGGACGAAAGGUUACUUUCUAAUAAAGAGAGCCCAUGACGGUACCGUAAGAAUAAGCACCGGCUAACUACGUGCCAGCAGCCGCGGUAAA